rnacentral:rRNA from 1 species
UACGAAGGGGGCUAGCGUUGCUCGGAAUGACUGGGCGUAAAGGGCGCGUAGGCGGUUUGUACAGUCAGGUGUGAAAUUCCCGGGCUCAACCUGGGGGCUGCACUUGAUACGUAUGGACUGGAGUGGGGAAGAGGGUCGUGGAAUUCCCAGUGUAGAGGUGAAGUUCGUAGAUAUUGGGAAGAACACCGGUGGCGAAGGCGGCGACCUGGUCCUUGACUGACGCUGAGGCGCGAAAGCGUGGGGAGCAAACAGG